rnacentral:rRNA from 1 species
GCCACCGAAUACAUUAGCAUGGGAUAAUGGAAUAGGACCCUGUCCUCCUAUUUUCAGUUGGUUUUGGCAGCGCGAGGACUAGGGUAAUGAUUAAUAGGGAUAGUUGGGGGCAUUAAUAUUUAAUUGUCAGAGGUGAAAUUCUUGGAUUUAUGAAAGAUUAACUUCUGCGAAAGCAUCUGCCAAGGAUGUUUUCAUUAAUCAAGAACGAAAGUUAGGGGAUCGAAGACGAUCAGAUACCGUCGUAGUCUUAACCAUAAACGAUGCCGACCAGCGAUUAGGAGACGUUGAAUACAAAACACCACCAUCGGCGCGGUCGUCCUUGGCGUUCGUGUUCACGCACGAGCGCGAGGGCGGUUUAGCCCGAUGGCACCGGUGAAUGACUCCCCUAGCAGCUUGUGAGAAAUG